rnacentral:rRNA from 1 species
UGGGGAAUAUUGCACAAUGGGCGCAAGCCUGAUGCAGCCAUGCCGCGUGUAUGAAGAAGGCCUUCGGGUUGUAAAGUACUUUCAGCGGGGAGGAAGGCGAUAAGGUUAAUAUCCUUGUCGAUUGACGUUACCCGCAGAAGAAGCACCGGCUAACUCCGUGCCAGCAGCCGCGGUAAUACGGAGGGUGCAAGCGUUAAUCGGAAUUACUGGGCGUAAAGCGCACGCAGGCGGUCUGUCAAGUCGGAUGUGAAAUCCCCGGGCUCAACCUGGGAACUGCAUUCGAAACUGGCAGGCUAGAGUCUUGUAGAGGGGGGUAGAAUUCCAGGUGUAGCGGUGAAAUGCGUAGAGAUCUGGAGGAAUACCGGUGGCGAAGGCGGCCCCCUGGACAAAGACUGACGCUCAGGUGCGAAAGCGUGGGGAGCAAACA